rnacentral:lncRNA from 1 species
GGAGCUCUCGUACCCUACACUGACAGCAGCGCCCAAAAGGAAGAAAGACUUCCCCUUCUUGACCAGCAAGAAGUUCAGCCAAUGAGAGACUGUCACAACUCAGCCAUUGAAUAGCCACUAUACUUUAAUCUCUCACUUCCUUCAAUGGUGCAGAGGAUCCACCAGAAUAUUUUGAAGCCCUAGAAGACAAUGGAGGUACUGGGUAGAAGUAACCUGGGUUUCUGAAUGAUUGAUGGAACAGAAAUACCUCCCCCACCAAACACAUCAAUCUACACUAGACUAUUAGAACUCUGACAAUGUGUAGCAGUAGAGAAGGCACCUAAAACCGGUUUCUAGAGGCAGUAGUGCCAGCCACAGUAGCAACAGUAGUGUGGGCAGUUUGAACUGCAGUGGCUGUGCUACUGCCAAUAACAACAACGUCCUCUAGUUUUGUAUGAUUUUGGAAGUCGUUCCUGGCUGCAUGAUCUCUGAGACUGGUUUUUAAGCCUUGCAAGAGAUUUUAUGCACUAAGUGAUAGC